AAAGACCCACAGAAAAGGUCUCAGGUAUUUCUCAAAACAAAAAUGGAUUUCAAAUUUUGUGCCAAGUUUAGGAAACUCUCAUAAAAUAAGUUUUUCAGUAUGUGUGAAUGCUAAUAUUGAAAAUGGUUAAGAAGAUGGUCUUUUACUCUUUUUUAAACCCAGACUUGCACAUCACUCACUUGGCUAGAACUUUUUGUGAUACGAAACUUUAUGCUUUUUCUUUUGCAUCAAUGUUUCAUGUGCAAAUAC
rnacentral:misc_RNA from 1 species